UAUUUUUUGUUUGCGACAGGACCUCAUUAUUGCAGCCUGGUAGUUUGCCCUUUUGCAGUGCUGUUGGAGGGCAUCAGUAGUUGGGGGAAUGCAUAUUUCUGGCAAGGCUGAUGAUGCCAUACAGAAAGCCUUGUACCUAGCUUCAUUUACAUUAUCGGCAGCUGGCUGAUCAUAUAAGUGGCACACAUACUGGCAAAGAAGUGCAAAUGUUGACUGCUCCAAGUUAAAGUGAGUACCUACACUUUUAAAAGCCUUUAGGUACUCAUUUUUCUCACAUGCAACAGAAAAUGUCUUUUUUUCCCCCUUUGCCAUAAAAGGCACUUGUGGAGUCACACCCAGAGAAUGUGUGAAUUCCGAUCAAGGCUGAACACACACUGGUUCCGAGAGCUGAUGACACCUUGGUAAUGUCAAUGAUACGUGUCCUGUUGCCAGUCCCUGUGAAAACAUAUGAACUGCAUGGGAAAUCUGUCUGCACACUUACAGCAAUGACUGCCACAUCAGCGUCAGAGCUCUUGAUGAUGACAGCUUUACGCUCCCGUGCAGCAUGUUGUGCAUGUAAAAACACCCUUGUGUCACAUUCUUCAUGAUCACACUGCAGGUCUUCAACAACACGAUCAGACUGUACACCCUCCUUAACAGUCACACAGUGACAUUGGUUUGUAUGUGCUAUGUACAAGCAGAGGUUUUUGCCCACUGUUGUAAGGUCUGCAUUUUUCCAUGCAACAUACAGGAAUUCGGCAAGUGCUUCCUUAUUUGUUCCUUCUGAGAGAAACUUUUUCCAUUGGGUUGGGGUCCUCUGAUCCGGGCCAAAGAUUUGCAUGCGUUGUGACCAGUGGCGGCUGGUGACAUUUUUUGGGGGGGGGUUGCAGUUGGGCGACGCGGUUUAAAUAGCACUCAGCAAUGAGAAGAAAAGAGGUUUUGAGUAGAAUAUUGUAAAAAACAAAGCUUUAUUUCAAGAACACACCGUGCUCAACACUGUCCAACAACAACUAUCAACACACUGUGACUUUGGGCAUGAGAGGUUCAGAGCAGCUUUAAGGAACAUUGGGUUGGGUUUCAGAGGUUUACAAAAUAAAAGAGUUUCACCCUCACAUGAAAGAGGUUCAGAGCAGAAUAGAGUCAGAGAGAGAUCACAUGUUACAUUGGGUGACAGAGUAGACCCACUACUGAAAAGAGAAGUAGCCCUCCUCUCUUUAAAGUGGUCAAACUUCUCAAUAACUCUCUGGUUAAAGUCAAUCAUGUCUAACCAGCCUGUUUCCAUUAUUCUGGAGGGAAUGCGUCUGUUUUUCAGAACUUCUUCGUUGUGUUUUCGAUGCCAGUUCGGUCUCCUUCUGCUGCUCUGCAAACAGGGUUAGCUUCACGAUUCGUGCUUUACAUUUGUCUGAAGCUCUUUAGAUCCCUCACCCCGUUGUAGUCCAGAGAGUUUCAGUCCCAGGACUUUGGAACAACAGACAGGGGAAACUAAACAGCGCAUUACUCACUGAGCCUCCAGCUAACAGCUCCGUUAGCAGCCUGCUCCCGUAGCUCCGUGGAGCUCUCUGGCUGAGGGAACUUACCGGUCUCUGAUUUGCCGAAUAGUCCAGUCACGUGAAGUAAGAAACGAUGUCAUUGGCCAGGGCGCACAUUUUUGCGCCCCAAGAUUCACGUUUCAUCCGCCAAUGAGAAGCCGUCCUUGCCGAAACUACCGUGAAAUGUUUGCUCGCUGCCGCGCACACACACAGGAAAAACGAGAGUAAUUUUUCCAGAGUUAAUAUUUUUUUCCUCUAAAAGAGUAAUUUUUAUUCAGUUCAGAGUGUAAUUAUUUCCGAUGACCACUAGAAUGGGAGUAAAAAAACAGAGUAAAUCGUAUUGGAGUAAUAUUAAGAACACGCCCACUAAUGUUUGUUAAGUUUCGUUUCUGCCGGAAUUUUCUAAUCCCGCAGUGCAAGGUCGAGGUGAGUGGCAGCGGUAGACGGCAGUGAGCCAGGAUGCAGGCUGUUCGAGUGAAAUACAGAGAUCAACAAAAAUACCUGUUUUGAGGGCCAAGUUACCUACACAUUGUUUUUGGAAAGUGCUUCCAAGAAGUUCAGCAUCCCAACCUUGGACAAAGAGUCGUUGAUGACACAAAGACUGAGGUUGAUGAAGAGGUCUUUGAUUUCCUUAUGAAAAAACAAAACCUGGUGUGCUCGAGAUUUGUCUCGCACAAGGUCCAAAUCUAGAUGAUUGCCUGAGUUCCCCUGCAAGCAGCUCCUUUACCAGCUCCAGUGGGGAUAUUGAAGGGGACUCUGAUGACACCGUAAUAUUGCAGUGCAGUCCUGCCACAAGACAGAGAGCUGAAAACACCUCUCUUGCCAAACUCUACAUCGAAGUCUUGUAGGAUGGGACAGUGACAUGUCGUCCAUUUUGAUCCUUGUGCACCUGCUGCCGCCGUCACCUCUUGGCCGCAAGAGACCAGGAAAGCUCUCCGCCAGACAAGCCAGUGAGAAUCUUGCGAAGUUCAUCAAGACAGGGACCAGCAUCCAGGGGCAUCUCGAUGGAAUCGCAGACAGCCUUCAACCAUACCUGCUUGCAGUGGGAACUCAGAGGAAUGUGAUUCACAAGUACUUCAUUGUCAUUGACAAACAUCUAAUAUCUUGUAAGUCAUCUGGCUCUUCUGCUUGUUUUGAUGAGCUUUUCAAAGCUCACUUUGUCUUUGGCACUUCGUACAACCACGAUCUCGUCAAUGUGUACAACUUCCUUCAGACAACCAUUUAUGAAAUCGAUAUUGAUACAACCAAGGUGAAUCCUAGAGUUGCAGAGUUGAGGGCUCGGAUGCUGCGUUGAGUAGAUUUUUGUCCUUUUCUGAGGUAUUCUGAAAUGUUUUGUUUCAUUUGUAAGAACUCCCAGACAAAUGCUAAUUUAGUUGUAUGUGUUAAAAUUCAUUGUGACAUGCCAGUUUUUCAUAAGAUCCACCAUGCUGUUGUGAAGGAUGAGACAUUGUUUUUUGUUACUUUUGCACUUCAAACGGUGUGUCUCAACGAGCAUUUUAAUACAUUUCAAGUUUUGUACACAACAGACGGACCUCAUAUUGUGUUUGUCAAUGAUCUUUUCUGUCACAAAGCAUUCGAUUUACAGGUGUCUUGCAGUCAUCAUGACUCCAGUUUUUAUAUUGUGCCAUACUGUUUCCUGUGAACACUUAAUAAAGUAAAGGUGUCAGUUAA